rnacentral:sRNA from 1 species
CAAAGGCAGAGUUGAGUAUUCAUCUGGGAUGGCCUGCAAAAUCUGAGAUAGUUGCUGUCUGACCCUUUGCAGAGAGAAUUUACCAAUGUCUGAAAUGAAAUCAGCCCUCCGUAUCUGCAAGUUCCUCAUCUGUGGUUUCAACUAACCAUGGAUUGAAAAUAUGUGGGGAAAGAGAAACCAAAAAGUGACAACACAGCAAUAAAGCGUAAUCCACAUUUUAAGAACGCAGUGUAACAAUGAUCUACACAGCAUUUACAUUGCAUUAGGUACUGAACGACACCUGGGUCUCCUUCCCCUCCUGGUCUGAGGACUCCACCUUCGUCAGCUCCAAGAAGACACCAUACGAGGAGCAGCUUCACCGCUGUGAGGACGAGCGCUUCGAGUUAGACGUUGUCCUGGAGACGAACCUGGCCACAAUCCGCGUGUUGGAAAGCGUGCAGAAGAAGCUGUCUCGGAUGGCGCCGGAAGACCAGGAGAAGUUCCGGCUGGACGACUCCCUGGGAGGCACGUCGGAGGUGAUCCAGCGCCGUGCCAUUUAUCGCAUCUAUGGCGACAAGGCCCCGG